AUCUAUGUUGCAGUCAUUAUUUUCGGAAAGUAAAUUCUCAUCAGAAUUUCUUCAUCUUUCUCUCGUAUUUUGUCUGUCCUCAUCACCCAUCCUCUUCUCUUUUAAUUUGUUCGGCACAACCAUAACAUAGUAGUAGACAUAUAAAUAUUAACUUUGUCUUGGCCUUUGAAUUUUUAUCUUUCUCAAUGGUUUCAAGCUUUGGAACUCAUCUCUUUCAUGUAACCAACCUGUAAAGUCAAUGAAAUUGAUUUUAGGAGAAGAGUUGAAGUCGAUUUGUAGAGAGGAGAGGAGAUGAAGCUGAUUUCAGGUUCUUCUGUGAAUAAAGAGAGUAGAGAGCUUUCCAUGGCAACGAGAAUGUGGAAGUUAGUGACGAAAAUCCUCAUCUUGAUGCUACAGUUUAUAGUGCCUAGAGUUGAAAGGGUUUUGUUUUAUUUGGUUUUUAGCUCAAUAGUCCGUUUAGGACCAGGCCCGGCUUUGAAAUAUAUGCCUAAAUUUUUGCGGGCCGGACCGAGCUUAGAUAGCAAUGGAUUUUGCGGGUUUUUUUUUCUGGCCGGGCCAGUCCGAUUGACACCCUGAAAAAUAAAUCGGUAACACAAAGAUAUCAUUCACACGUUUAGCUUUUCAGCGAUGUUUAACCAUAGUCCACACAGUCAACAAUGAUAAGUCCAUUUUGUGGAUAACUCGAGGUGGCGGACAAGGUCUGAAUCUAUAACCAUAGAUUGAUCGGGAAGCUGAAGAUUGAUGCCACUUUAUAGGUCAAACAAAACCAGCAAGUAUCUUCAGUUGGUGGUACAGAAUGGUGACGAAAUCGAAGGUUGAUGAGAUACGAGAUUCCGAAGAGGAAACAUGUACUUGAUGUGGCGGUUCUACAGUCUGGAGUUCAUGUAGGUGACGACAGAGAAUAGCCUGAGAAAACCAUGGGAGAGAUUAUCGCUUCUCUUCUCAUGGGAUAACAUUUUGUUAAGUAAACUUAGCCAAUAAACAAAAAUAUAUUUUAUUGG